rnacentral:lncRNA from 1 species
CUAACCUUGUGAAAGGCUACCCAGCAGCCAGACUUGUGCAAUAUAUCAUUGUAUUGUCUAUGUCUGAAAAUUGCUUACUGCACACUGAGUAAUGAAUCUGCCUUUCAGACAACAGUGGCAGAAAAAGAAAACACAACAUUGUGAAAAACAUCUAAGAAAAAGAGAUGAUAUCCUAACAGUCUACUGGAAACUUUUGGAGAAGAUCUGGAGGCUGUUCUUUCAAAGUUUUAAUGUUGAGGGGUCUACUGGACUCGUUCAGGGGAGAAGCCUAAUACUUUCUGGAUCCGGGUAGGAAGAGUGAGCAUGAAGAAAAAACUUAAAAGAGAAGCUGAGAAAUCGUAUGACAGAAGAACAAAUGAGAUGUUAAAUAUGGUAUCAAUGGGGAAAUGAGACAAAAAGAAUAUUAACUGUGUAGAGUUGCAAAGAGUCAAUUAAAAAUAGUAAAGAAGAUUCUACUUGACACAGUGAAGCAAAGGAAACCAGCUGCAAGACUGGAAGAGUGGACAUAUAUUGUGUUAUACUGUGUUAUGAGCGAAUUGUUAGAGAAGAUGGGGAAAAAAGAGGGAGCAAUUAUGACUACACAGUUUUGAUGCAUUUGAGAUGCAGGAAGGAGAUCUGGCUCUCUGGAAAGGAACUGAACACUAUUAAUAGAAAUAUUAACUGAAACUGAGGCAAACAUGGCAAUGAAUAAAAACAUGAAAACACGAAUACUUGUGAUCUUU